rnacentral:rRNA from 1 species
GAUGAACGCUGGCGGCGUGCCUAAUACAUGCAAGUCGAGCGAACAGACGAGGAGCUUGCUCCUCUGACGUUAGCGGCGGACGGGUGAGUAACACGUGGAUCACCUCCCUAUAAGACUGGGAACACUUCGGGAAACCGGAGCUAAUACCGGAUAAUAUAUUGAACCGCAUGGUUCAAUAGUAAGAGACGGUUUUGCUGUCACUUAUAGAUGGAUCCGCGCCGCAUUAGCUAGUUGGUAAGGUAACGGCCUACCAAGGCAACGAGGCGUAGCCGACCUGAGAGGGUGAUCGGCCACACGGGAACGGAGACACGCUCCAGACUCCUACGGGAGGCAGCAGUAGGGAACCUUCGGCAAUGGGCGAAAGCCUGACGGAGCAACGCGGCGUGAGUGAUGAAGGUCUCCGGAUCGUAAAACUCUGUUAUUAGGGAAGAACAGAUGUGGAAUUAACUAUGCACGUCUUGACGGUACCUAAUCAGAAAGCCACGGCUAACUACGUG